CCGCCUCUUCCCCGUCGCAUUCCUCUCUCAGUCUCUCUGCCGCUCGCCCCGCGGUCGCCAUCGAGGGCUUGCCUCCCGCGUCGCCGCUUUCCCGUCGAGCUCGCGCGUCACGUCGGAGAAUGCCAGGCAGAGCGAUAGGAGGCCAAGCAGAGCGCUAGGCCGUGUGCGUCGUUUCCAUCGACUGUGCAUUGGGCGACUCCGACACCUCCGUCUCAUCCAUCCCAACCCGAUGAGGAGGCCGAGCCGCCACCUGCUGCCGGCCUUCGGGCCGUCUUGCUCGACCACGCCCAGGGCGCGCCGCCGGCGAGGCCUCCUGCUCCGACCCCGCAGAGGGCGCACAAACGACCGGGGCAGAGGAGGAAACCCAGGCGGAGCACGCCAUCUCCGUCGACCGGAGGAGCACCAGGUAUUUAACUCAAGUAGGCAAGGCCGUGAGAGGGAGAUAGAAGGAGAAGCAGAGGCAGAAGCAAGAGGAAGGAGAACCUCGAGGUGCUGCGGCGCUCGGGCAUUGGUCGACUACGCCGCCCCUUCGCUCUCGCGCCGCCAGGGCCCUCUUGCUCUCAGGACAAGCUUGGCUGAUUUCCUGGUCCUGCUACGAUUGGUUCUGGAUCUGACCGCACACCUCCCGUCUGUCGCCGCCGUUUGCUCGCUCGCCGCCAUCAGAAAGGGUGGUUGUGAGGGUUUGGUGCCAGGGUCAUUGCUGGGUCCGUGGCUGUUGUUCCUUUAGAUUUGGCCGUCCUUCCUCCUGCAUCUCCGACGAAGGUGCUCUUGUUCAUGGCCCACUCUGAGAGGUUGAUUGAUUGCCUUAACGCAGAAGGAGAGUCUCACUGCCACUGCUGGAGCACAUAAACCACCCUUUUGUCUCAGUUUCGAUUUGAAAACCACUCAUACUGUCCCAAAUAUGUCUCCGAAUAUGGAAGCUAUAUAUCACCAAGUACAAUUCCGAGUUUCCAGUGCAAGCAUAAAGACCUCAGUUUGUGUAUUCCAUCCUGUACAGAUAACUGGAGAUUUAUACUGUCAUUUGAUUAGCCCCUGGUGUGGAAUCAGAAGGUCACACAUUUGUUUUUGAGUUGAAUGGCUGCCCAGCUGUGUACGUAUGCACCAGAACAGAGCAGGGGAAUGAAGGGGACACCCAGGGAGUUAUCAUGGUCCUUGCAGUUGUCAUUCACAUGACUGUGCCAUUCACGUUUGUACAGGGUGAACUCUGUUAUGUUCGUCUAUUUACUCGGUGGUUACUAGAGAAUAUAUUGCAUGUGCCCUGUCUUGGUUGAUAGUGUAUCUUGCUCUUGCUUUCUUACGGUCGAGGAGAUGGAUAGAUAUAGAUUCUAGGCAUGUCCUUGGUCCUUGCAAAAGAGGUUUUUUUUUGCUGCCUUCAUUGCUUUAUUUGGUACCUUGCUCUUUCCACUGUCGAUCAGGAGACAAAUUUGGCAUCAACCCCUGUCCUUGCUCUUUGCAGAGGAGGAUUUUGUUCUUUUCUUCGAUGGAUGUACAUUUUGCUCAUCUGCUGACCAUUAUGUCUUUCCAACCUGCAGUAUUUCUCGGUUCGCUAUACAGGGAUGGAACUUGCAGAACACAUUAAUUUACCGGUAGAUGGCGUGUGUGUUGAACUCGUGUGUGGAUGCGCAACGGGGCAAGUCUGUGUGAUGUAAGGUGUGGACAGAAGAGCGACAAUAACUACGGGGUUGGUCAAAGAUUGAAAGAAAUCUCGUAUGUGUCUUCGGCUUCGACACUGUGUCUUCGGCUUCGACACUACGCAUAGGAAGUCGUUGCUGAUAAUCCAAUCUUUGAAAAGGUUAGUUCAAGGUUCAUAACGCAGGUUCAUGUGGCGCAUGAAAUGUUGAAGUCAAGACGAUCAGGUGGAUCUAUCAAAAAAAUAUGCUUCUGUGGAACUACAUAGGUUCUUUGUUGCCGCUGUGGCUUGAUUUUGUUGUAUGAAAAGUACAUUGUCUGUAUCAAAUUUGAUGUGGAUUGACGAACGGUUCUACUGACAAAAUCCCUUAUGGUUACUUUGCAUUUGCUA